rnacentral:rRNA from 1 species
UCCAGACUCCUACGGGAGGCAGCAGUGGGGAAUAUUGCGCAAUGGGCGAAAGCCUGACGCAGCGACGCCGCGUGAGGGAUGAAGGUCUUCGGAUCGUAAACCUCUGUCAGCAGGGAAGAACGGUCACUGUGCUAAUCAGCAGUGAAUUGACGGUACCUGCAAAGGAAGCACCGGCUAACUCCGUGCCAGCAGCCGCGGUAAUACGUAGGGGGCAAGCGUUAUCCGGAUUCACUGGGUGUAAAGGGAGCGUAGACGGCGACGCAAGUCUGGAGUGAAAGCCCGGGGCCCAACCCCGGGACUGCUCUGGAAACUGCGGCGCUGGAGUACGGGAGGGGCAGGCGGAAUUCCUGGUGUAGCGGUGAAAUGCGUAGAUAUCAGGAGGAACACCGGCGGCGAAGGCGGCCUGCUGGACCGUGACUGACGUUGAGGCUCGAGAGCGUGGGGAGCAAACAGGAUUAGAUACCCGAGUAA